UAUCGCUGUAAUAAUUUAUUUUUAAAAGCUUUAAAACAGGAAUAAAUUCGUUUUCUCUGAGCUCUUUACUCCAGACGCUCGUGAUCACAGCGGUGAUUCAUCUCUCCUAUUUCUCACGUAUCUCUGGCCAGAAAUAAUUUAUCCAUGAGCCCUGAACCGGUAAUAAUCAGAUAUGUUGGUUUAGCUUGUCAGUGUGAAUUAAAUCUAAGUAUUUGUUUGUAUUUUUAACCGAUUUAAAAGUGAAAGUAAAAGUUCGGGAAUUGAACCUGUAGGGGCGCAAUUUCUCUCAGACAAUGGAAGUCUGAAGCACACAUACUCAAACAGAGGGACAGAGUGAGAUGAGAUGUCUGACAGUUUUUUUAAUUUUCUGUUAUCCAUACAGUGUUGUAAAGUCUUGAAACUAUGCAUAUUUCCUCAGAAUGACUUUUUCAUCUGUAUGAAAAAAUUCUUUGACGUGUUUGGAAGCUGCAAUUUAAAAAUACAAUAAUGAUUCCCUUUGUAAGGUCAUUUAAAAAAAUCACCACGGCAAAACCAUUCAAGCUAUCCAAAAUCCAUUCACAAUUUAAGUUCCUAUCAGAAAUACUGAUGUGUGUUCAGAGUUUUGUGAAAUUCUAAGUAUGUUAUUUGCCUCAAAAUCACCUGAGAAGUAUUCCAGUUUGACAUGUUGCCACGCCAACAAUUUUUUAGAUAUCAAUAUCCCCCUUGCAGAUUUAUAUCGGCUGUGUUUUAACAUUAUUCUGAUGAAGUUUGAAGCAAAUCGAGUAAUAAUAAGAUGCUGAAUUCAAAUCAUUUUGAAAAUGACACACUUCCUUCUGCCAGUUGGUGGCGCUAUAACUUUGACUCCUAAUAGUCACAUAUAUGCGAUCGACAUCGUACAACGAAUAAUCUGAUGAAGUUUGAUUAAAAUCAGGAAAUGUAUGUGGACGGUAUUAGACACUUCCUGUUUCUCAUUUCUCGCCAUAAUUUCAACGCCUCGCCACGAGCAAACCGUUCGAGAUAUCAAAAAUCCCCUGGCAAUUUUUCAUCCCCAGUGUCUUGAGAUCAUGUUGACCGAGUUUGGCGGCAAUCGAGAAAAAAACCUAUGACAAGUAUUUCAAAUUCCAGAGCAUGCGCUUUUUACAUAACUCUAAAUAGCUGACUUCCUGUUGGGUGGAGCCUAUGACAUGCAAUACGAAAGUUGUUCGGCACGAUGAGAUCUAUAUUUGUACUGAGUUUCAUAUGAAUAUGUGCAAGUAUGUGUGAGCUAUACAUCAACAUUUCUGACUGUGUUCCAGGGGGCGCCGUAGAGCCCCUGUGCCACGCCCGGGUCCCAGCCUCUGCAGGCUCCUAAAGGCCACAGAUUCCAAAGUGUGCGCAAAUUUUCAAGAGUUUUUGAGUAUGUUAAGGACCCCAAAAGCCCCCACAACUUUGACGAAAAAUUUGAAUACUAAACCCUAAAUAGCCAACUUCCUGUUGGGCGGAGCCUAUGAUAUGCAAUACAAAAGUUGUUUGGAUUGAUGAGAUUUAUAUGUGUACCGAGUUUCAUUCGUCUACGAGCAAGAAUGUAUGAUAUAUGGCCCUCCAUAUUCCAGGGGGCGCUGUAGAGCCCCUGUGCCACGCCCGUGUAUCAGUCUCUGCCCGGCCCUAAUGGCCGCAGGUUCCAAUCUGUGUGCCAAUUUUCAAGACUUUUUAAGCACGUUAAGGGCCCCAAAAGCCCCCGAGACGUUGGAAAAAAAUAAUAAUAAUAAUAAUAAUAAUAAUAAUAAAAAAUAAUCCUAAGGAAAACAAUAGGCCUCUCGCCCUUUGGGCUUGAGCCCUAAAUAUAGCUGCAAGCAGCGAUGGCGGGCUCAAGCCACCAAUGCCAUCGCCACCCCGGUGGCAUCAGGUAAACUGUGCCCAGCGGGCACAUGCAUUCACAAUAUCCCUCUGGCAGUGAGGUUUUAAAGGAUAUGGCAGUUAAAGGGUUAAUCCGAAUCAUCUAGACUUUAAAAUCACAUUCACAGAACAAUAUAUAUAUGUAUAUAACUUUAGUAACACUUUACAAUAAGAUUCCAUUUAUAAACAUUAUGUUAACAUGAACAAUAUUUAUAUAGCAUUCAUUCACGUCAGUUAAUAUUCCAAACUUAAACAUUAAAACAUUGUUUUAUUGUGAUUUUUUUCCAAGCAUAUUUUACCAAUUCCAAACCAUAUCAAUCUUAAUAACUACCAUUAUUUUUUAUUUAAUCAUUUAUGAGUGCUAUACAAUAGUCCACGAAAGCUGGAAGAGAAAAACAGGUCAAGAAGAACUGACAAAAAGAAUUGCAAAAUAAUUAGGAAUUAAUGUGAAGAUUAAUUUUUAGUCAAUUCUGCAAGACAGACUUUCAGGAAAGGAGGUGGAAUAAAAAUGAGCUCCUAAAUCUUAAUCCCGGAUUCUGGAAGAUAUAUUCCUCAAACCAUCGAACAAGAGGAGGUGGUGCUGGUCCUUCACGAGUCACUCUAAUCUGUUCAUAAAGCCUAUAUAUAAAGACUUAAUAUAUAGUAUUUCACAAUACUUCAUGGUAUUCUAAUUAAAUCAUUUUUUGGAAUCUUAAGUCUCUCAGAGUCCGACACCGAGUAAUUCUGGAGACUCCAGGAAAGUGGCAGUUCUGUAAAAUGUUGGCGCUGGAGACUAAAUGCACCCUGAUAGUUUCACACCUAAUUCACUUAACAAACACACACACACACAUUACCCACAGUGACAGUGGGACUGAGUGACAUCAGAUGUAUGAUAGUUUUUUUUUAUUUUCUAUCAUCCAUACAGUGUUGUAUAGUCAUGAAACUAUGGUCAUGAGACCAGUCAUUCUGAGGAAAUAUGCCUCAGAAUGACUGGUCUUCUAUGUGUACAUUUUUUUUUUUUUAAGUGUUUAGAAGCUGCACUUUAAAAAAAUAAAAAGACAUUUACUGGUUCCUUUUUUACUAUUAUUUCAAAAAAUCAUCACGGCAAAACCAUUCAAGCUAUCCAAAAUUCAUCACCUAUUCUGUAAGAUUAAUUCUUUAAACAGUGGUAAAAGAGGAUGUGGUGCUGAACCUUCAAGAGUCACUCAAAACGUUAUCUGUCCAUAAAGCCUAUAAAGAAUUAUUCUUAAUAUACAGUUCAAAAUACUUCAGCUUGUUAUUCUAAUUAAGUGAGGGUCAUUUUAUCAGUAAAAUAUAUACAAUUCAUUUUUUUUGAAAGAUUUCUAUGAAUGAUUUAAAUCAUACUCGUUUCUACAAUAAUUAUUUAAAAGUAAUCCUAUAGCUCCCUCUGGUGGCCAUUAUAGGUACUAAGAAUUGCAAGCUUGAUUUAUAAGUUAUGAUAGUUUUAAUUUUAUGCUGGCUCUUGAAAAUGAUAAAGCUAUGAAACUUACUGUGCUUCCUUCAAAUGAGGACUUCUACUUAUAUAAAAAAUUAUGAAGAGUUAGAAUGAAAAAUUUUAAAGGUAUAGUAAAAUAACUAUUGUAUUUUUUAUGUUACUUUAAUAAAUCUCUAUGGCAACACCAUUUAAGCUAUCCUAAACCCAUUCACAAUUUAACAUCUCAGUAUAUAGGCAUAAUGUUGAAAAAGGAGUAUGGAGUAGUAUGAGUAGGAGUAUGAAUUCAUUUGCAGGCUUUAUCAUAAAUCCACAAUAAAAUUUCUGAGUUCUGUA